UGGAAGUAGGGCGCUGCAAUCCAACCAGGCCCAGCAGAGGGAAGAAAGGGUUUCAGACUUCAAAGGCAUUCCCAGAAGUCUUGUGAGAGCAAGUAGAUUAUGGUGUCUGUGUACUUGGAAAGCUAUGAAAGAUGCAGACUGCUCAGGAUCACCGAGAUGAAUCUGGACAAGUGUCCUGCUCUGGAGAUAAGAAUUAACACGGUUUUCACAGUACCAGCUCACACUGCAGCAGAUGCUGCAGGAGGGAAUAAUUUACAUUAUACUUAAACGUCCAUCCUCGAAAACUCAAGGCACCAUGGAUGCGACACGUCCUGUCGCCGAUUAGAUGGACAUCAAAUGCUAUA